rnacentral:rRNA from 1 species
UUUUAUGGAGAGUUUGAUCCUGGCUCAGGAUGAACGCUGGCGGCGUGCCUAAUACAUGCAAGUCGAGCGAACGGACGAGAAGCUUGCUUCUCUGAUGUUAGCGGCGGACGGGUGAGUAACACGUGGAUAACCUACCUAUAAGACUGGGAUAACUUCGGGAAACCGGAGCUAAUACCGGAUAAUAUUUUGAACCGCAUGGUUCAAAAGUAAAAGACGGUCUUGCUGUCACUUAUAGAUGGAUCCGCGCUGCAUUAGCUAGUUGGUAAGGUAACGGCUUACCAAGGCAACGAUGCAUAGCCGACCUGAGAGGGUGAUCGGCCACACUGGAACUGAGACACGGUCCAGACUCCUACGGGAGGCAGCAGUAGGGAAUCUUCCGCAAUGGGCGAAAGCCUGACGGAGCAACGCCGCGUGAGUGAUGAAGGUCUUCGGAUCGUAAAACUCUGUUAUUAGGGAAGAACAUAUGUGUAAGUAACUGUGCACAUCUUGACGGUACCUAAUCAGAAAGCCACGGCUAACUACGUGCCAGCAGCCGCGGUAAUACGUAGGUGGCAAGCGUUAUCCGGAAUUAUUGGGCGUAAAGCGCGCGUAGGCGGUUUUUUAAGUCUGAUGUGAAAGCCCACGGCUCAACCGUGGAGGGUCAUUGGAAACUGGAAAACUUGAGUGCAGAAGAGGAAAGUGGAAUUCCAUGUGUAGCGGUGAAAUGCGCAGAGAUAUGGAGGAACACCAGUGGCGAAGGCGACUUUCUGGUCUGUAACUGACGCUGAUGUGCGAAAGCGUGGGGAUCAAACAGGAUUAGAUACCCUGGUAGUCCACGCCGUAAACGAUGAGUGCUAAGUGUUAGGGGGUUUCCGCCCCUUAGUGCUGCAGCUAACGCAUUAAGCACUCCGCCUGGGGAGUACGACCGCAAGGUUGAAACUCAAAGGAAUUGACGGGGACCCGCACAAGCGGUGGAGCAUGUGGUUUAAUUCGAAGCAACGCGAAGAACCUUACCAAAUCUUGACAUCCUUUGACAACUCUAGAGAUAGAGCUUUCCCCUUCGGGGGACAAAGUGACAGGUGGUGCAUGGUUGUCGUCAGCUCGUGUCGUGAGAUGUUGGGUUAAGUCCCGCAACGAGCGCAACCCUUAAGCUUAGUUGCCAUCAUUAAGUUGGGCACUCUAAGUUGACUGCCGGUGACAAACCGGAGGAAGGUGGGGAUGACGUCAAAUCAUCAUGCCCCUUAUGAUUUGGGCUACACACGUGCUACAAUGGACAAUACAAAGGGCAGCGAAACCGCGAGGUCAAGCAAAUCCCAUAAAGUUGUUCUCAGUUCGGAUUGUAGUCUGCAACUCGACUACAUGAAGCUGGAAUCGCUAGUAAUCGUAGAUCAGCAUGCUACGGUGAAUACGUUCCCGGGUCUUGUACACACCGCCCGUCACACCACGAGAGUUUGUAACACCCGAAGCCGGUGGAGUAACCUUUUAGGAGCUAGCCGUCGAAGGUGGGACAAAUGAUUGGGGUGAAGUCGUAACAAGGUAGCCGUAUCGGAAGGUGCGGCUGGAUCACCUCCUUUCUAA